rnacentral:rRNA from 1 species
AGAGUUUGAUCAUGGCUCAGGAUGAACGCUGGCGGCGUGCCUAAUACAUGCAAGUCGAACGCGGGCACUUGUGCCCGAGUGGCGAACGGGUGAGUAAUACAUAAGUAACCUGGCCUUUACAGGGGGAUAACUGCUGGAAACGGCAGCUAAGACCGCAUAGGUAGGGACACUGCAUGGUGACCGUAUUAAAAGUGCUGCAAGGCACUGGUAGAGGAUGGACUUAUGGCGCAUUAGCUGGUUGGUGAGGUAACGGCUCACCAAGGCGACGAUGCGUAGCCGACCUGAGAGGGUGACCGGCCACACUGGGACUGAGACACGGCCCAGACUCCUACGGGAGGCAGCAGUAGGGAAUUUUCGGCAAUGGGGGGAACCCUGACCGAGCAACGCCGCGUGAAGGAAGAAGGAAUUCGUUCUGUAAACUUCUGUUAUAAAGGAAGAAAGACGGAUGGAGGAAAUGACAUCCGAGUGACGGUACUUUAUGAGAAAGCCACGGCUAACUACGUGCCAGCAGCCGCGGUAAUACGUAGGUGGCAAGCGUUAUCCGGAAUUAUUGGGCGUAAAGAGGGAGCAGGCGGCAGCAAAGGUCUGUGGUGAAAGACUGAAGCUUAACUUCAGUAAGCCAUAGAAACCGGGCAGCUAGAGUGCAGGAGAGGAUCGUGGAAUUCCAUGUGUAGCGGUGAAAUGCGUAGAUAUAUGGAGGAACACCAGUGGCGAAGGCGACGAUCUGGCCUGCAACUGACGCUCAGUCCCGAAAGCGUGGGGAGCAAAUAGGAUUAGAUACCCUAGUAGUCCACGCCGUAAACGAUGAGUACUAAGUGUUGGAAGUCAAAUUUCAGUGCUGCAGUUAACGCAGUAAGUACUCCGCCUGAGUAGUACGUUCGCAAGAAUGAAACUCAAAGGAAUUGACGGGGGCCCGCACAAGCGGUGGAGCAUGUGGUUUAAUUCGAAGCAACGCGAAGAACCUUACCAGGUCUUGACAUACUCAUAAAGGAUCCAGAGAUGGAUAGAUAGUUAUAUGAGAUACAGGUGGUGCAUGGUUGUCGUCAGCUCGUGUCGUGAGAUGUUGGGUUAAGUCCCGCAACGAGCGCAACCCUUGUCGUUAGUUACCAUCAUUAAGUUGGGGACUCUAGCGAGACUGCCAGUGACAAGCUGGAGGAAGGCGGGGAUGACGUCAAAUCAUCAUGCCCCUUAUGACCUGGGCUACACACGUGCUACAAUGGAUGGUGCAGAGGGAAGCGAAGCCGCGAGGCGAAGCAAAACCCAUAAAACCAUUCUCAGUUCGGAUUGUAGUCUGCAACUCGACUACAUGAAGUUGGAAUCGCUAGUAAUCGCGAAUCAGCAUGUCGCGGUGAAUACGUUCUCGGGCCUUGUACACACCGCCCGUCACACCAUGAGAGUUGAUAACACCCGAAGCCGGUGGCCUAACCGAAAGGAAGGAGCUGUCUAAGGUGGGAUUGAUGAUUGGGGUGAAGUCGUAACAAGGUAACCGUA